rnacentral:lncRNA from 1 species
UGGGCCACACAUGGGAGGCGGGCAGGUCUCCCUCAAUUUCUGUCCCUGGUGUCUGCAGGUGCUAAGGAUUCCCAGUGGGUGGCACCUGUAGAUCCCGGGUGCCUAUUCCGUUCCUGGCAGCCUUACCUGCCUGCAGCUCUGGCCCCAGCUGCCUGCGGGUCUGCAGGGGAUCGAUGGGGAGCCCAGGCCCCUCCCUUGUUAAUUCCCCGCGAGGUGUGCCUGCUCAGGCUCUCAGCUCGCCAUCCCUCACCGGUUGGACACGUGGGGACAUUUGGAUCUCGUUCAGGCCACAUUUGCCUGAGGGAAACUCAGACUGCUGUCAAGCUUUCUUCUGCUUUUCCUCUUUCCCAUGGGCAGGACUUGUACUCCUGGCUGCUGCUUCCAAAAUGCAGCCUGACUGUCCUAGUUUUUGGGGUAUCACACUGUAAUGGAUUCUGCGUAUUAAAACCUAUGCUUCCUCCACAAAUUGCGAAGCAGCAAAAAGCAGAGACUUGGGGCACAGACUUCACCAUCUCUCUUUUCCUUUUCUCUUCCGUCACAGUGACAGCAGAGAGCGGCGUGGGUGGGAAGGAAACCAGUUCUCCUGCCUGUCUCCUGCUCCCUCACCUUUUCGGCUUUGCACCUGGUGGAGUGUUCCUGGCAGAGUGUUCCGGUAGAGCAGCACCUGGUUAUUACCAAGAGCACAGUUUCAUCUGGACCUGCAGGCUGGUGAGGCCAGGAGAGAUUCACUCAGGGGCCAGUCCAAAAAACAGAACCUGGCUAGGAAUUUCAAACAGGUAACUUUUGAGAAAGGGUUUCAUUGGGGGUUUAGUGAACGUUAAAAAACUGCACAUAUUCAAAGUACACAAUUUGGUAAGUUUUGGCAUAAGUACACGCCCAUAAAACCACAAUCAAGAUAAUGCUCCUUUGUCUUCUUCCCCUGACGGUCUUUGAUCUGCUUUCUGUCACUAUAGGGCAGUUGGGAUUUUCUAGAAAUUUAUAUAAACGGAGUCAAGCAGUAUAUAUAUAUAUAUAUAAAAUAUGUAUAAAAAUAUAUUUUUAUUUUUUAUAAAAAUAAAUAUAUAUUUUAUA